AGUGAACGCUGCGGUAGGCCUAACACAUGCAAGUCGAACGGCAGCACCGUAAGAGCUUGCUCUUACGGGUGGCGAGUGGCGGACGGGUGAGGAAUACAUCGGAAUCUACUUUUUCGUGGGGGAUAACGUAGGGAAACUUACGCUAAUACCGCAUACGACCUACGGGUGAAAGCAGGGGAUCUUCGGACCUUGCGCGAUUGAAUGAGCCGAUGUCGGAUUAGCUAGUUGGCGGGGUAAAGGCCCACCAAGGCGACGAUCCGUAGCUGGUCUGAGAGGAUGAUCAGCCACACUGGAACUGAGACACGGUCCAGACUCCUACGGGAGGCAGCAGUGGGGAAUAUUGGACAAUGGGCGCAAGCCUGAUCCAGCCAUACCGCGUGGGUGAAGAAGGCCUUCGGGUUGUAAAGCCCUUUUGUUGGGAAAGAAAAGCAGCAGGUUAAUACCCCGCUGUUCUGACGGUACCCAAAGAAUAAGCACCGGCUAACUUCGUG
rnacentral:rRNA from 1 species